CACCUGUAUGAACACUCUUUCCCUCCACGACGCUGUUCCCUCCCCGCACAACUGUUCCGACUUUAUUGUUACAGGCGUUUCCUGCUGGGACCGGGGUCUCCCAGCCACCUGCUUCCCCAGCGGGGCAGAUCUCAGCUGCAGCCAGACGUCCCUCCAGCCAAGGACAUGGGAGAUUCCAGGCCUAGACGUCCUGGGGGUGUCUGUCCUGCUCCGGACGCCUCCCUCCCUCUGAUCAUUGCUCUCCGGAGAGCAGCAGGUGUGUGCAAGGGAGGCCCCGUGCUGCCAGAGCAGAGGCCAUGAACCCCCAGUCCCUUGGCAUUGCCCAGCAUCCCAAGGGCUAACGGGGGCCUCCCCAUGGGCCAAGGGGGAAAGCAGCCGUGAGGAGCCCCAGGGCUCCGAGUCCUG